UUCUUUAACUUCCAUUAUCUAGUUAGUAUCUUGAGUUCCUCUUUGAGCAGUAGCUUUGUGGUAUUAAAGUUCUGAUUUUUUUUCAAUUGGGGCACUUAGCUUACUGUAUUGAGUCUCUAUUCUUACACAUGCUUACUGUGGGAGAUCUUGAGGUUUUUGCUAUUGUUCCAUACUUGGUUGUGAGAAUCUUAUGGAAAUUCUAAGUUCUUGUGCUAUCUACUUGUUGUUCUACAUGAUGCGAAGAGUGUUGGUGUUGAGGCUGUUGGGAUUACCUUAACGUAGUUGAAUCCUCCUCGGUGGUGGCUGUCCUUGCCGUCACCACUCGCUGCCCCUCUCCCUCCUCCUUCGCUGCUCUCCUUAUGGUGUUGUGUGGAAUUGUGAUGAUGAAAGUGAUGGUGGAGGAGGUGAGGGGAGAUGGCUCCUAUAUAGUGCUAAGCUAUUGGAAUCUAUGUUUGAGACUUGGAGGCAAAGGCUCCUAUUUUGGGCUUGUUAGCUCUCUUACUUUCGAGCUUGAUGAUUGUGAGAUUCUUGCCGUUUUGGUGAUGGUGGUUGAUCUUCUUGGCUGAUUUCUCGGCCUUGAUCGACGGGGAGAUGAGAGUUUGUCUCAUUUUCUACUUUUGGGCUUGUGUAGGAGCUCGCUCUCCAAUGCCCCUUUGUCUCGACUCCCUUUUGAUGUUAGAAGAGAUGGUGACCAAGAUUUUCUUACCUCAUGCUCUAUCUUGUACAUGGAGGCAUUCUUGGAGCUUGUGGAGGCCGAAAAUCGAGAACGAUGGGAAUGAGGGAAACACUUAGAUUUAGUUGCUCUAUUUGGCUAGUAUCCGAAUAUUGUAGUUUGGCAUCUUUGAAAUGCUAAGUUGUAGCUUCCACUUUUGUAUUUUCCACAUGUAACUAUUAUGUAGCAAAAUCUCACACCUCUCAAUAAGAUUGUAUAGUCCUUUUCC